rnacentral:rRNA from 1 species
UACGGGGGGGGGCAAGCGUUGUUCGGAAUUACUGGGCGUAAAGGGCUCGUAGGCGGCCAACUAAGUCAAACGUGAAAUCCCUCGGCUUAACCGGGGGAACUGCGCUUGAUACUGGAUGGCUUGAGAUUGGGAGAGGGAUGCGGAAUUCCAGGUGUAGCGGUGAAAUGCGUAGAUAUCUGGAGGAACACCGGUGGCGAAGGCGGCAUCCUGGACCAACACUGGACGCUGAGGAGCGAAAGCCAGGG